rnacentral:rRNA from 1 species
AACGUAGGUUCCGAGCGUUAUCCGGAUUUACUGGGCGUAAAGCGCGUUCAGGCGGUUUGGCAAGUCGGGCAUGAAAUCUCUCGGCUCAACCGGGAGAGGUCGUCCGAUACUGCUGGACUUGAGGGCAGUAGAGGGUGGUGGAAUUCCGGGUGUAGUGGUGAAAUGCGUAGAUAUCCGGAGGAACACCAGUGGCGAAAGCGGCCACCUGGACUGCACCUGACGCUGACACGCGAAAGCUAGGGGAGCGAACGGG